AGGCCAGUGGCGCAAUGGGUAGCGCAGCGGUCUCCAAAACCGCCGGUUGGGGGUUCGAGUCCCUCCUGGCCUGCCA
rnacentral:tRNA from 1 species